rnacentral:lncRNA from 1 species
GGUAUUGUUUUCUUGUCGAUCCUUUUCACUUGAGCACUGUUUCCACAUUUUUCCACUGUGAGCCCAGACUUGGAUUAAAUCACAUGGGAAGCGAAGUUCCUGUAUUAAUUUCAGCUUGCUUUUGAAAGCAUCAGCUCACAGGAUAGAAGCUCAUCACACUUCAGCUUGUAAAUGCUCUGGCAGGCUUGGCUAGUCAACUUGCAACAUUUCAGGGCUGCAAACCUCAUUGCUUGUUGGUAGAUACAGGAGACACAGUUCAUGGGUAUCAGGUUUCAAUGGGGGAAAAAAAGUAGUAAGAAAUGUUCUAAUGCAGCAACACAAACACACAGAUUUUUGUAAAGUGCAAGUAGAUCAUAAGUUGAGGCCUCAGAGAACUCAGUAAUCAAUUUAAUAUAAAAUGACAUGCAAUUUAUUUCUAUCAAUUUGCCUUGUUUGCUUUUUAAAAAAUUUUUUUCCAUCUUUUGUUUUAAAGAGCUUUUCGAGGAGGUGCUUGUUAAAGGAGUCUUUUGGCAGGUUGUUCCCCCAAACUAUGGGAAGAAAUGGGAAGUAAAAUGGAGAUGGCAGAAGCUGAAUGAUGCCUUUAAAUUGACUGACAACAUCAUUCCCUAUUAUUACUACCUUGUAGACUGCCAAAGAACUAAUGUACUUCAGACAUCUAAUGUAAUUAAUUCAGGACCACAAGUCUGAAUCACAAAUCUACAUGUGGAUUCAGUAGGAAAAAGAAAAAUAUGGUCCGGAGGAGAAAAAAUAUCUUUUUGCACAGCUACCUCUAAUUU